GACGAACGCUGGCGGCGUGCUUAACACAUGCAAGUCGAGCGGUAAGGCCCUUUCGGGGGUACGACGAGCGGCGAACGGGUGAGUAACACGUGGGUGACCUGCCCUUAGCUCUGGGAUAAGCCUGGGAAACUGGGUCUAAUACCGGAUAUGACUCCAUGACGCAUGUUGUGGGGUGGAAAGCCUUGUGCGGCUAGGGAUGGGCCCGCGGCCUAUCAGCUUGUUGGUGGGGUGAUGGCCUACCAAGGCGACGACGGGUAGCCGGCCUGAGAGGGCGACCGGCCACACUGGGACUGAGACACGGCCCAGACUCCUACGGGAGGCAGCAGUGGGGAAUCUUGCGCAAUGGGCGAAAGCCUGACGCAGCGACGCCGCGUGGGGAUGACGGCCUCGGUGUAAC
rnacentral:rRNA from 1 species